rnacentral:rRNA from 1 species
UACGGGAGGCAGCAGUGGGGAAUAUUGCACAAUGGGCGCAAGCCUGAUGCAGCCAUGCCGCGUGUAUGAAAAAGGCCUUCGGGUUGUAAAGUACUUUCAGUCGUGAGGAAGGUGUUAAGGUUAAUAACCUUAGCAAUUGACGUUAGCGACAGAAGAAGCACCGGCUAACUCCGUGCCAGCAGCCGCGGUAAUACGGAGGGUGCGAGCGUUAAUCGGAAUUACUGGGCGUAAAGGGCACGCAGGCGGUUAAUUAAGUUGGAUGUGAAAUCCCCGGGCUUAACCCGGGAAUGGCAUUCAAGCUGGUUAGCUAGAGUCUUGUAGAGGGGGUAGAAUUCCAUGUGUAGCGGUGAAAUGCGUAGAGAUGUGGAGGAAUACCGGUGGCGAAGGCGGCCCCUGGACAAAGACUGACGCUCAUGUGCGAAAGCGUGGGGAGCAAACAGGGAUUAGAUACC